GACGAACGCUGGCGGCGUGCUUAACACAUGCAAGUCGAACGGAAAGGCCCUGCUUUUGUGGGGUGCUCGAGUGGCGAACGGGUGAGUAACACGUGAGUAACCUGCCCUUGACUUUGGGAUAACUUCAGGAAACUGGGGCUAAUACCGGAUAGGAUCUCCUGCUGCAUGGUGGGGGUUGGAAAGUUUCGGCGGUUGGGGAUGGACUCGCGGCUUAUCAGCUUGUUGGUGGGGUAGUGGCUUACCAAGGCUUUGACGGGUAGCCGGCCUGAGAGGGUGACCGGCCACAUUGGGACUGAGAUACGGCCCAGACUCCUACGGGAGGCAGCAGUGGGGAAUAUUGCACAAUGGGCGGAAGCCUGAUGCAGCAACGCCGCGUGCGGGAUGACGGCCUUCGGGUUGUGAACCGCUUUCGCCUGUGACGAAGCGUGAGUGACGGUAAUGGGUAAAGAAGCACCGGCUAACUACGUG
rnacentral:rRNA from 1 species